AGAUGCCGAUCUCGAAAACCUGUCCCAGUUCGGACUGGAGUCUGCAACCCGACUCCACGAAGUUGGAUUCGCUAGUAAUCGCGCAUCAGCCAUGGCGCGGUGAAUACGUUCCCGGGCCUUGUACACACCGCCCGUCAAGCCAUGGGAGCCGGGGGCGCCUGAAGUCCGGGACCGCGAGGACCGGCCUAGGGCGAAACUGGUGACUGGGGCUAAGUCGUAACAAGGUAGC
rnacentral:rRNA from 1 species